AAUCCAUAGGUUAAUGAGGCGAACCGGGGGAACUGAAACAUCUAAGUACCCCGAGGAAAAGAAAUCAACCGAGAUUCCCCCAGUAGCGGCGAGCGAACGGGGAGGAGCCCAGAGCCUGAAUCAGCAUGUGUGUUAGUGGAAGCGUCUGGAAAGGCGCGCGAUACAGGGUGACAGCCCCGUACACAAAAGCGCAUGUGCUGUGAGCUCGAUGAGUAGGGCGGGACACGUGGUAUCCUGUCUGAAUAUGGGGGGACCAUCCUCCAAGGCUAAAUACUCCUGACUGACCGAUAGUGAACCAGUACCGUGAGGGAAAGGCGAAAAGAACCCCGGCGAGGGGAGUGAAAAAGAACCUGAAACCGUGUACGUACAAGCAGUGGGAGCCCCACCACCAAAGCAUUUGCUGUACCGCGUUGACGGAGCGAAGCGACGUCAAACCGAUAAAACAGCAGUGUAAAGUGAGCCGCAGGGCGCUUUGCGCGACAGCGCAAAGGCAGGCGGUUUCGCGUAGCGAAAGCGAAUGCUUUGGGGUGGGGUGACUGCGUACCUUUUGUAUAAUGGGUCAGCGACUUAUAUUCUGUAGCAAGGUUAACCGAAUAGGGGAGCCGGAGGGAAACCGAGUCUUAAUUGGGCGUUAAGUUGCAGGGUAUAGACCCGAAACCCGGUGAUCUAGCCAUGGGCAGGUUGAAGGUUGGGUAACACUAACUGGAGGACCGAACCGACUAAUGUUGAAAAAUUAGCGGAUGACCUGUGGCUGGGGGUGAAAGGCCAAUCAAACCGGGAGAUAGCUGGUUCUCCCCGAAAGCUAUUUAGGUAGCGCCUCGUGAAUUCAUCUCCGGGGGUAGAGCACUGUUUCGGCUAGGGGGCCAUCCCGGCUUACCAACCCGAUGCAAACUGCGAAUACCGGAGAAUGUUAUCACGGGAGACACACGGCGGGUGCUAACGUCCGUCGUGAAGAGGGAAACAACCCAGACCGCCAGCUAAGGUCCCAAAGUCAUGGUUAAGUGGGAAACGAUGUGGGAAGGCCCAGACAGCCAGGAUGUUGGCUUAGAAGCAGCCAUCAUUUAAAGAAAGCGUAAUAGCUCACUGGUCGAGUCGGCCUGCGCGGAAGAUGUAACGGGGCUAAACCAUGCACCGAAGCUGCGGCAGCGACACUGUGUGUUGUUGGGUAGGGGAGCGUUCUGUAAGCCUGCGAAGGUGGCCUGUGAGGGUUGCUGGAGGUAUCAGAAGUGCGAAUGCUGACAUAAGUAACGAUAAAGCGGGUGAAAAGCCCGCUCGCCGGAAGACCAAGGGUUCCUGUCCAACGUUAAUCGGGGCAGGGUGAGUCGACCCCUAAGGCGAGGCCGAAAGGCGUAGUCGAUGGGAAACGGGUUAAUAUUCCCGUACUUGGUGUUACUGCGAAGGGGGGACGGAGAAGGCUAUGUUGGCCGGGCGACGGUUGUCCCGGUUUAAGCGUGUAGGUGUGUGUUCCAGGUAAAUCCGGUUCACUUUAACACUGAGGCGUGACGACGAGGCACUACGGUGCUGAAGCAACAAAUGCCCUGCUUCCAGGAAAAGCCUCUAAGCAUCAGGUAACAUCAAAUCGUACCCCAAACCGACACAGGUGGUCAGGUAGAGAAUACCAAGGCGCUUGAGAGAACUCGGGUGAAGGAACUAGGCAAAAUGGUGCCGUAACUUCGGGAGAAGGCACGCUGACACGUAGGUGAAGUGAUUUACUCAUGGAGCUGAAGUCAGUCGAAGAUACCAGCUGGCUGCAACUGUUUAUUAAAAACACAGCACUGUGCAAACACGAAAGUGGACGUAUACGGUGUGACGCCUGCCCGGUGCCGGAAGGUUAAUUGAUGGGGUCAGCGCAAGCGAAGCUCCUGAUCGAAGCCCCGGUAAACGGCGGCCGUAACUAUAACGGUCCUAAGGUAGCGAAAUUCCUUGUCGGGUAAGUUCCGACCUGCACGAAUGGCGUAAUGAUGGCCAGGCUGUCUCCACCCGAGACUCAGUGAAAUUGAACUCGCUGUGAAGAUGCAGUGUACCCGCGGCAAGACGGAAAGACCCCGUGAACCUUUACUAUAGCUUGACACUGAACAUUGAGCCUUGAUGUGUAGGAUAGGUGGGAGGCUUUGAAGUGUGGACGCCAGUCUGCAUGGAGCCGACCUUGAAAUACCACCCUUUAAUGUUUGAUGUUCUAACGUGGACCCGUUACCCGGGUUGCGGACAGUGUCUGGUGGGUAGUUUGACUGGGGCGGUCUCCUCCUAAAGAGUAACGGAGGAGCACGAAGGUUGGCUAAUCCUGGUCGGACAUCAGGAGGUUAGUGCAAUGGCAUAAGCCAGCUUGACUGCGAGCGUGACGGCGCGAGCAGGUGCGAAAGCAGGUCAUAGUGAUCCGGUGGUUCUGAAUGGAAGGGCCAUCGCUCAACGGAUAAAAGGUACUCCGGGGAUAACAGGCUGAUACCGCCCAAGAGUUCAUAUCGACGGCGGUGUUUGGCACCUCGAUGUCGGCUCAUCACAUCCUGGGGCUGAAGUAGGUCCCAAGGGUAUGGCUGUUCGCCAUUUAAAGUGGUACGCGAGCUGGGUUUAGAACGUCGUGAGACAGUUCGGUCCCUAUCUGCCGUGGGCGCUGGAGAACUGAGGGGGGCUGCUCCUAGUACGAGAGGACCGGAGUGGACGCAUCACUGGUGUUCGGGUUGUCAUGCCAAUGGCACUGCCCGGUAGCUAAAUGCGGAAGAGAUAAGUGCUGAAAGCAUCUAAGCACGAAACUUGCCCCGAG
rnacentral:rRNA from 2 species